rnacentral:lncRNA from 1 species
AGUCCUCCUUCCUCCUCUUCCCCACAUCCCACCUCUCCUUUCCCCCUCCUUGUAGGCCCUCUUUCUCCUCAGCCCCCCUCCCCCCGCCUUUAGUCUCCUACCUCCCCUACAGCCUCCUGCCCCCGCCUCCUCACAGCCCCCUACUUACCCUACUGCCUCCCUCCUGGGGCCCUUUCCUCCCCAAGGGCCCCUCUGUUUUCUCCCAUUCCAGCCCCUGACCAGGCCCUGCUCCUCUGCUGGGGUCGGCCCCGCACAGUAAGCUGCCUGGGAGCCCUCAUUGCCUUCCUGGGCAACCCGGCCAAAGGCCCCCCGAGCAGCUGCAGCCCUGGAGGUCAGCCUCACCCUGGCAGACCGCAGGGGCCCCUCCUCACCGCCGACCUCUGCACCUUCACCCGUUUGCCUGGUGUCUGAGGAAGGGCCCGCAGGAAGAGCAUUCCUUUCCCAGGGUCUUCCUCAGGAGGGAUGAGAGGAAGCAAAAGCUUGGUCUGCAAACGGGCUGGUCCUCCCGACGGCCACAUCCGCAGGAAUGACCCUCAGAGGGGCUCCCCAACUGGCUGGGAGAUUCGUCCAGCUGGGCGCUCUGCUACACAGCCCCGUCAAGGGCAAACAGAUGACAAAACUGAGACACAAAAGAUGAAUCAGCUUGGCAGUGUUCACAGAGCCAGCGUGUGGAAAAGCCAGAAUCCAGACCCAGACCCGAACUGCAGCGUCCCGGCUCUUACCCCUAACCAGCCAGUGCCUCUCAGCUUAGUGCUCUUCCACCCGGCUUUUCUUUCUAAAAACACCCUCUUUUUUUUCCCUCCCUUCUCCCCAUCCCAUGAUGGAGCAUUCUGCGCCAAAAGCCAGCUUUCACUCUGCAGGGCAACGUGGAGAGGGAUGAAAAGCCUAGACCCCUUAGCACGGUCACCUGAACACAAGCUGAGUGUGGCGUAUCAAGUGGAAGCCCAGGAGGGAAGAGCCAGUGGCACAGUUAUCUCCCACCACCCGACAUGCUCCGGCCGCCAGCUCUGGUCUGACCGACGCUUCGGAUGAAGAACUCCAAGCAGCCCCCUAUUCGUACUGUUUUCCUCAGUGAACUCCCAGGGAUCACCUGCUUUUUAUGUGUGACGAAUGUGGUCAGUUUUGUUUGCUUUUGACAGCUCAUUAUGGGUCCAUGAGGUCAGAGUCCUGGCUGAAAGGCCAGAAGUUUAGGGAGCCUAUCUCCAGCUGAUACUCGCUUGCUUCUUGACCAUCUUUGGGCUUCUGUUCUUUCCCAGUAGCAUAAAGCUUGUAUGAUUCUGACCUCUGGCACCUAUGCAUUAUUUAAUCAACAUUUAUUGGGGCUGUCUCCAUGCCAGGCAUGUGGUAGGCCCUAGUGGGGCAGGGGUAAAAAACCGCUGCAAUCCUGGCCUUUCAGGAACUCAGUCUAGAGGGAGAAAGAAAACACCUGAGGCCAGAGGGCUCUCUCUGAUCUGCUUCUUCUAUUUCAAGUCUGUGCUUUUAACUAUAUUGAAUUUCCCAGUUAUUAUAUCUUCUUAAUGAAUUGUUGAUUUUAUCAGUAUGGAAUGUCCAUCCCACUUUGACCCUUGUAAUGCCUUUUACCUUAAAUUCUAUUUUAUUCUGCCCAUCACUAGGGGACUAGUUGAAUCAGUUAUGGUAUAUCCUCACAAUGGAGUACUAUGCAGUUGUGAAAAAUAAUGAGGGCCAUCUUUACGUGCUGUUAUGGAGUGAUUUCCAGGAUAUAUAGUUAAGAUGGAAAAGUAGGAAGGAAAAAAUAUGUAUUGUAUGCUACUGUUUAAGAAAGACAAGUAUUCAUCU